rnacentral:rRNA from 1 species
AACGAACGCUGGCGGCAGGCUAAACACAUGCAAGUCGAACGCAUCCUUCGGGGUGAGUGGCAGACGGGUGAGUAACGCGUGGGAACGUGCCCUUCAGUUCGGGACAACCCAGGGAAACUUGGGCUAAUACCGGAUACGUGCGAGAGCAGAAAGAUUUAUCGCUGAAGGAUCGGCCCGCGUCUGAUUAGCUAGUUGGUGGGGUAAUGGCCCACCAAGGCGACGAUCAGUAGCUGGUCUGAGAGGAUGAUCAGCCACAUUGGGAAUGAGACACGGCCCAAACUCCUACGGGAGGCAGCAGUGGGGAAUAUUGGACAAUGGGCGCAAGCCUGAUCCAGCCACGCCGCGUGAGUGAUGAAGGCCUUAGGGUUGUAAAGCUCUUUCGUCCGGGACGAUAAUGACGGUACCGGAAGAAGAAGCCCCGGCUAACUUCGUGCCAGCAGCCGCCGUAA